rnacentral:rRNA from 1 species
CCUACGGGGUGCAGCAGUGGGGAAUAUUGGGCAAUGGGCGCAAGCCUGACCCAGCAACGCCGCGUGAAGGAAGAAGGCUUUCGGGUUGUAAACUUCUUUUCUGAGGGACGAAGAAAGUGACGGUACCUCAGGGAUAAGCCACGGCUCACUACGUGCCAGCAGCCGCGGUAAUACGUAGUUGGCAAGCGUUAUCCGGAUUUAUUGGGUGUAAAGGGCGUGUAGGCGGGAAAGCAAGUCAGAUGUGAAAACUCAGGGCUCAACCCUGAGCCUUGAUUUGAAACUGUUUUGCUUGAGUGCUGGAGAGGCAAUCGGAAUUCCGUGUGUAGCGGUGAAAUGCGUAGAUAUACGGAGGAACACCAGUGGCGAAGGCGGAUUGCUGGACAGUAACUGACGCUGAGGCGCGAAAGCGUGGGGAGCAAACAGGAUUAGAUACCCUUGUAGUC